GUGGGGAAUAUUGGACAAUGGGCGCAAGCCUGAUCCAGCCAUGCCGCGUGAGUGAUGAAGGCCCUAGGGUUGUAAAGCUCUUUCACCGGAGAAGAUAAUGACGGUAUCCGGAGAAGAAGCCCCGGCUAACUUCGUGCCAGCAGCCGCGGUAAUACGAAGGGGGCUAGCGUUGUUCGGAAUUACUGGGCGUAAAGCGCACGUAGGCGGACAUUUAAGUCAGGGGUGAAAUCCCGGGGCUCAACCCCGGAACUGCCUUUGAUAAUGGGUGGCUGGAGUAUGGAAGAGGUAAGUGGAAUUCCGAGUGUAGAGGUGAAAUUCGUAGAUAUUCGGAGGAACACCAGUGGCGAAGGCGGCUUACGGGUCCAUUACUGACGCUGAGGUGCGAAAGCGUGGGGAGCAAACAGGAUUAGAUACCCGGGUAGUCC
rnacentral:rRNA from 1 species